CCGUUGAUUAAAAAGACCGAUAGCCUUUGUAGAACAGAAGGUGGAGAAUGUGUGUAUAUGUGUGUGUGUGUGUGUGUAUGGAGGGGGGAAAAUUUUCAUGAAUCUCAACAAAGACGUCGGAGAUAUAAAGGGAAAGAAUGGUGAGGUGAAGAGAGUAAAAGAAAACAAUAUAUAUAUAUAUAUAAAUACCAUGGAUUGUGCGGAAAUUUUUCCAUGAAGGAUAGAUCGAAGGGAUCGAAGGUAAGAGAUCUUCGGUUCAAUCGAAUGUCCCUGAAAAAAAGAGAGAGAGAGAGAGAGAGAGAUAGGAAAGAAAUGAUCGUGACGAGAGGCAAAGUGAACAGGGAAAAGAGGCAAAUCUACUUCGAGACGUCUAGUCGAACAUGUACAUAGAUAGAUAAUACGCGGUAGAUAUGUAUUAAGAGAUAUAAGUACAAACGUUGAUAGGAAGGCGUAUUCGAUGAGGAGUUCUUGAACUAUGUCGAGCGUUGAAAAAAAAAGGAGAGAAAGAAAAGGAGGAGGUGGGUGGGAGGUAAUCUGGAGGGGGAGAGGAAGACAGAGAGAAAGAGAGAGAAAGAGAGACAGAUAGAGGGAAGGGUUCGGUUAAAAGGGCGACCCGAGCGAAAGAAGGGAAGGGCCAGAGUCGUUAGCUUGCCCGAGGCCAUGGACGCCAUAUUUUAUUACUUAAACGGCAUGCCGGGUAGGUUGGUUUGUUGGUUAAACAAGGAAUUAAUGCCGCGGUAAUCUGUCAUUAUGGAUACUCGUGCACGAGGAUCCACGGUUGCAUGCUUCGUCUCUUUCUUUCUCUGUUUUACACACCCACACACACACACAUUCUUUGUUAACAUGCAAUUCUCUCUCUUUCUCUUUCGCACGUUCAUCUCGUAUCUCUCUAUGCCGAUAACUUCCGAUUGGUUCGUUAAAAAGACGAAGAGUAAAGGAGAGAAAACGACCGAAGAAGACUCCUACCUUCGAUUUUUCGUACGUGUUGGUUAGUUUACGUUCGCGUUAAUAUACACUGAUAUAUGUGUAUAUAUCUAUAUAUAUAUAUGUGUAUAUAUAUAUAUAUAUACAUACAUGUCAAUAUAUGUAUGUAGGAGCAGGGUAUGUCAUUUGUGCACGAUGCCAUCGGCGAUCCAUCAUCGAAAAUGGCAGGGAUGAAUAAUGGACGAAUCAAUGUUGAGUUUGCAAUCCUUUGGCCUCCUCUCUUUUUCGCUUUCUUUCUUUCUUUCUUUCUUUCAUUUUUUUACGUGCGAAAAAGAUAGUGUGUGUGUGUGAGAGAGAGAGAGAGAGAGAGAGAGAGAGAGAGAGGGAGAGAGAGAGGAUGAUAUUCGUAUAUACGUAUACGAAUAUCAUCCUCUCUAUGACGUUCCUUUCGAAAUUUAUAUUGCCUGCUAUGACGACUAUGACGAGGUAAAUUGAGAAGUCCCUAAGUAAAGGAAAGAUUCGUCGUGCUCUCCUCAUUUUUUUUUUUUCUUGAUGCAACCAGGAGGGUUGGAUUUUGUUUAUCACGAUUUUUAAAAGAGAAUACGAUAUAUACGUACACACACACACACACACACAUACAUGUAUAUACAUACAUAUACAUGUACAUGAGGUAUACCGUAGGAAAAAGAAAUCUACGGAGUUUUCCGUAUUGGGGCAUAUCGAAAUAUAUUUUUAUAGUCUCUUUGAUCGAAAAUGGGAUAAAAAGGAGUGGAAAGGAAAACGAUGUAAAGAAUGCAAGGGUUAAAGAUUAAAGAUUAAAGAAAGAUUAUCUUAAUUUUUUUUUCACUCUCUUUUUCUUCUUUUUCCUUUCUUUCUUUCGUUUUUUUCUUUUUUUUUUUUUAUCUAUUUCAAAGGGAAAAAACAUCGACGAGCGUUCUUUUUGAAUUUGUAACUUGAUCAAUCGUAAGAUGACUCGUUAAAUGAAAGUUAGAACAUUCUCAGGUAUUUCUACGAUGGACGCGUAGUGUAACUGAAAUUAUAAGUCCACGCGAGUUACACGCGAGGUAUAUCGGCUUGGUUCUUGUACGUCGGUGUAUAUCUAUAAUUUAAUCGGUAAUCCUUAUGCCUGAAAAAGAGAGAGAGAGGGAGAGAGGGAGAGGGAGAGAGAGAGAGAGAGAUUUAGAAACUCUUGAGAACGUAGGAGAACAUAGUGCACUUAACGACAUUCGAGAACUCCUUUACGGCGAAGCAAGCAAGGGGGCGUAAACUUUUGACCUGUUAUGCUUAUCGAAGCAUAUCUGAUACUGUCCACCACAUAGUCGUGUGCUUCUCAGCACUCGUACUUUGGCUUUCCAUCGAACCCAACGCUCACGCCCAGUUCCUGUUCGUCCUUCUUCCUUCUCCUCCUCCUCCUUCUCCUCCUCCUCCUCCUCCUCAUCCUUCUCCUUCGCAUCCUCCCACUCCUCUUCCUUUUCAUAACUGUUCAAAAAGAAGGAAGAAAUUCGACUCGAUUCAGAUCGCGUAUCUUUUGUUGUUGAAAGUAAAAAUAAUAAUAAUUAUAAAGAUACAAUCGAGAAGGAGAAGUCGAUUCCUUUGAUUAAAGUCGAAUCACUUCCUGGUUUAUGGUGAAUACACGCUAUAAAAAAUGUUUUGGAAAGUCAAAUAGUAGGCUCGGACCUUCUUAAAAAACGAUGCAAUUCUCCUUAAAUUUUUAAUUUGUACCGUGAGAAGAUUUGUUUAAGUAACGCGUGUAUAUAUACGUACAUGGUACAUGUAUAUAUAUACAAGUAUACAUAGAUAUCGAUGUUUUUAACCCUCUGUGGUUCCAACAUAUAAAACCUUCGUUACAAUCAAGGGUGACUAUCUUUUACCCGCAUGGACGUGCCUUUCUCGAUACGCUCUUAGUAAUAAUAAUACACCCAGAGAGCCUUUCGAUUUUUAUCGAAGUGGAACGAGGAAGACGCGUACGCUUACGUCUACCAUGUGGUUUCUGUAUAAUCGUGUCCGAAAAUAUUCGACUGAAAAAUCUUCUCGAUUUAUCGAUAUUCGGUACUAACGAGUAUACAUAAUCGAUUGGAGAAUCACCAUUUAAGAUCGAUAAAAUCAGGAUGAUAUCGUUGAUGGCCUUUUGACGAUAAAACCAAUGACGAAAACGGAGAAGAGAAGGGUGACAGAAAAGAAAGAAGAAACAAAGAAAAAAGAAAGAAAAGAAAGAGAAAGAAAAAAAAUCCUUGUAUCACGGAGGCAAAACGAAGGGAGAAAAGAACAAGGGACAACGGAGAUAGAAGGAACACAAGUAAAUAAGUAAGUAUGUAUGUAUGUAUUUAUGUAUAUAUGUAUGUAUGACGAAGGUGGUCGGAUCGAGAGCAGACAAUUUAAUUGUUCGAACUUAAAUGGAGAACAGCUGCCUUUUCUCCCGCCUAACAAGCCGAUAAUAACCCGCUUCUAAGGUCUUCUCAUCUUCUUUUCCGAUCUAUCUUUUUCUUCUAUAACGAGAGAGAGAGAGAGAGAGAGAGAGAGAGAGAGAGAGAGAGAGAAAGAGAAAGAAAGAAGUUUGACCAUGACGCCCAUAACAUCGAUGUUACCUUGGAUUUAUAAACGAGGGCCUAUCCGUGAAACAGCAGGUGCUUCCGUUGCUUCGGACAUCGAACGAAAUAAGGAUGAGAAGAAAGCAUAAGCGCGCGUGCGUGCGAGAAAGAGAGAGAGAGAGAGAGAGAGAACAAUAAAAAUAGAAAAAAGAAAUAGAAUCAUUCUCUUCCUCUCGUCCUAAUUCCAUCUUAAUCGGGGGCUCGGUUCGUCUUUUUCUUUUUUUUUCCUUCCUCUUUUUUUUCUUCUUUUUUUAUUCUCGUGCCACGCCAAGGGGUAGGGCUCAAUUUCCGACGGAGAGAGAGAAAGAGAGAGAGAGAGAGAGAGAGAGAGAGAAAAAGAAAGAAAGAAAGAAAAAAAGAAGCUCGUGCCAUGUUAAAUAUCAACGUUUGAUGGGCUUUAUAAGGGUGCCUAUCAUUAUUAAAUUUCUAUAUAGUACGAAACUAAGCCUAAUCAUUAUUGCGAAUAACAUUUCGGACGAAAUCCAAUCGUGUUUUUUCGUCGUUCGCAUUUCAAUGCGAUUAGAUGAAAUUAAAUGGCAACCGGCAACCGAUAACCAGCAACCAGCAAUCGGGUUCUUCAAUAGAUAUAUAUAUAUAUAUAUACAUAUAUAUAUACCCGUGUAUAUAUACAUCUAUAGAUAUAUCUAUAGGUAUAUAAAAGUUAGUAAGGUUCAUAAAAAACUAGUAUUCUCGAAAGGAAAUCUUUCUCUCUCUCUCUCUCUCCCUCUCUUUCUCUCUCUCCCUCACUGUCUCUGGGCAAUUCUUCUCGUAGUUUCUCAGUAUCGCGAACGCACCAAGAAACGACGAAGGUUUAAAAGCCUUCGACUCGGAAUACAUCGUUGGAGGACUCUCUCCUCUAUCAUAGUAAAAGCAAGACAGAGCGCGACACGAUAAAGCAAGAAACGAAAUGUAGAAUUAUCAGAAGAAAGAGAGAGAGAGAGAGAGAGAGAGAGAGAGAGAGAGAGAGAGAGAGGGAAACAAAAAGAGAUAAAGAGUAAGAGAAAUAGAACGAUCUAGUCGAUGGAUAAGAGAGCUUGACUAGAACGAAUUCGCGUAUAGAGUACAAAGGGUAUCCCUUUGUGCUUCCUUUACUAGCGAAUUGCAUUAAAACUUAUGUUCUCUUAAAGAAAGAAAAAAGUGGUAGUGGUGGUGGUAGGAGGACGUUGAACGGGGACGGGGGAACAAGGGAUGUAUGAAAGAAAGAAAUAGAACGAAUGAAAAAUAAUCAGUCAUAGAAAACGAAGACAAGAGAGAUCGGAAUAGAAAGAGAGAGAGAGAGAGAGAAAGAGUGGAGUAGGUUAGAAGCCUUAACAAUUUGAUAUUCGAUCGAUAACGUCCUGAUAUCGGUCAGGGACAUUUUACGAGGAAUCCCUAUAUGUUGAAAACUGAAAAAAAAGAAAAAAAAAUAGAGAGGAAAAGAAAGAGUGGGAGAUAUAUAUAUAUAUAUAUAUAGAGAGAGAGAGAGAGAGAGAGAGAAAUAGUAAAACUCAUUUGUGUCUACUUUAUACUCUACGCUUGACACGAAGUAGAAGAGAACUAGCCAAACUUCACUUUUCUUUUCCAAACCUUUGAAAAUCGCAAAAAGCCUUCUAUAUUUCUUUUUUUCUUUUUUUAUUUUCUCUCUUUUUCUUUCUCUUUCUAUCGUGCUCUAUUUAACAUAGAACUGCUACGGGAUAUUUUAACUUCUUCCUUAUCUAAAGACCGUUCGAAAAUCGACGAAAGGCAUCACAUCUCGUUUCACUAUGUCUCCUCUUUCUCUCUCUCUCUCUCUCUCUCUCUCUCUCUCUCUCUCUCUUUGUCUCUAUCUCUCUCUUUCUCCCUUCUUUCGUUUUCUCGUCGAGAGGAGGUAGUUCUUUUCGUUCUUUGAUAUUCUUCGAGGCUUUUUAGUCGUUGAAAUUAAUGAAAAUGAAGCGGAACGCGAAUAAAGCGCAGUUUGUAUGAUCUCUUUUGUUUCGUAGAACGUGUGUGUGUGUGUGUGUGUAAGAGAGAUAGCUCUUUUUACUAAUACGAGAAAUAUGAUAAAUGUCAAACGACCAUGAAAAUAUACAUCUUUUGAAGGACGUAAAGGUCGUUAAAAAUCAAAGUGAAAUCUCAUUAAAUAAUGGAAUAGAUAAUAUAAUCUUAAAUAAUAGAAUAAAUAAUAGAAUAGAUAUAGGAUACUUAUACGGUUUUCGAAGAUAUUACAAUAUUUCUUGUAAAUAUAUUUUUAAUAGUUUCGACGAGAAUAAUAGAUGAAAUACUAUAUCGUAAUAGGAAAACUGAAGAAUCUCAUAGUUCCCUCUUACAUAUCUCGUUGCGCAGGCAACGAGAGUCACUCUUGAAAGGAUCAAUAUCUUGAAAAAUCCUUAUCGUACUUACUUCGUUUACACGAGUAAUAAGCCACUCGAGAAUUUCAUGUAGUUUUCCUACUAAGGGUUAUAUGUGGAUCAUCGAAAAAUAAUGUAAGUACUUAUAUACAAAUAUUUACUCAUAUUCAACAUAUAUAUAUAUAUAUAUGUAGGUAUAUACUCGACUAAAAGAGAAGAUACAGAAACGAUGGACAUGCCCUUGCAUACAUACAUACAUACAUGCAUACAUGCAUACAUACAUACAUAUAUGUAUAUAUAUAUAUAUACAAAAUAUAUCUAUAUAUAAUAAUGUACUGGAAGAGAUCGUUUUCUCGGGGCGCAGCAUUAAUAGUACUUAUCUUCCGCACGGUACACCACAUGGUAAUUAUCGUCCAAUCUUGGUCGAAGGACCACCAGCCUUUCACGAUAUAAUUCUUCUGAGUUUGCUACUUAAAAGCGUGCGUCUCUUCUUUCCUUUCUCUCUCUUUUUCUCUCUCUUUCAUCCUCCUUCGAAAAGGCGCGUAUACCGUACGGGAUUUAAAUUUAAUUUAGCGUUUUCACGUUCCGUCACGAUAACGAGCACUUGACAGCCGAUUAUAAUAAUUAUCGUAGGAAAAAAAGGGAUACAUAUUCCUCGUUGCUAUCCUGUACGAACUAUGGUGAUUUGUGAAAGGAGUCGUAAACUCGUGAUCUCGAUUAACCCGUCAACUCGGUCCAGACUUUCAUCCCUUUUUUUCUUCUCUCUCUCUCUCUCUCUCUUCAUUUUCUUUUUUAUUCCGUGGCUAUAACGUUCGAUACAAAAUGUGUACGAUGUUCGUCGAUAGUUCGAUCGUAAAUUUUUGCCAUGAUCCCUCGCAGCCGACCGUGAAAACUACUCUGUCCUAACCACCUUGACUAGCUGUAAAUCUAUAGAAAAAAAAGGAAAAAAAAAGCAGACGAUUAUUUCUCUUAAAAUUAUAAACAUAAAAAAAAUCAUAAAUCACGAAGAACGAUGGUUCCGUUCAUUGAUUUUGAUCAAAUGGAAAAAAUGGAAAACAAUCCAUCAUAAACGUAGAGAAAGAGAUAGAGAGAGAGAGAGAGAGAGGGAGAGAGAGAGAGAGAGAGAGAGAGAGAGAGAGAGAGAGAGAUAGAGAGAGAGAGAGAGAGAGAGAAAGAGAGAGAGAGAGAAAAGAAUCGGAUCGUAAAAGUCGACAUUGUCAAAUUUUAAUCUCGUUAACGAAUGUACAAGAGCUUUACGAGGUUCAAGGUAAACAAGUACACGUUGAAAAUUAAGGAUCCAGGCACACGUACCUAUUUUGACCGAGGCGAACAUUUACGAUGAGAUUACACACACACACAUAUAUUGUGUACGCGCAUCCACGUACACACGCAUACAUAUUGUCCUAUUUAAAUAUCGCAGGGAAAAAGGCAUAAUUGCAAAAGAAUUAGACACUCUGGUAAAAGAAAUUUAUUGUAAAGAAACUUGGAAAGGAGAUAAAAGGAAAAAAAGUACAAGGAAAGGACGAAACAAUAUUUAUGACACGGCAACAUGGAGAAAUAGUAUAAUAAGUAAAUAUUUUUAAAAGUCCAAGGAAAGAAAGGCAAAAAGUAAAGAUUAGGAGGAAGGAAAGGCAAAAAAAAGAGAGAGAGAAAAAAAAAGAAAAAAGAUAUUGAGGAAGCACGGAAAAGGUUGUCUGUCUGGCACCUGCCCGUCGAGGAAACUCGACGAUAGCUUCCGAAGUUAAACUUCGCGAAGCAAUAAUAACAAGGAGAAAGAUGAAAGUAUCCUUAUGGCAAAGCUAAUAGGUUAUUUAUUGCUUGUUUAGGACGAGGAACGUGUUCAUAUCCGGAGAAAAAGAAAGCCUGGCCUUUCGACGAUCCAUAGAAAAGGUCCUUUAGCUUUUACGAGAGGGCAUUAACCGAAAAUGAAUGUCUCAUGCGACUUCGUUAUGACUUUUACUAAUAGUUUAUCUUCGGAUCGUCCCUUUCUAAACGAUUAAGUCGUCAAAGGAAUUUUCUUACAUUUACUAAGAGCACUCUUCUUCGAGAAAUGAGAUACGGAUAAUAACGUAAUCGAUGCGCGUUUGCGAAAGCGAAAACGAGGAAAAAUGAGAAAAUUAUCAGAGAAAUUUGAGAAACGCAUUUGUUACGACACGGUGAUAAUGGUUAAUUAAUGGUUGAAAAUUUGGUAGAAAAUAUUUCGACGAUAUUUUUUUCAGUUUUUUUUUUCUUUCUUUUUUUUCUUUUUUUUUUCUUUUUUUUUCUUUUUUUUUCUUUUUUUUUCUUUUUUUUUUAAGAACGAACAAUCAGAAGGAGCGACGCGUUUUUACGGCUGGGAAGAUAAGAUCGAGAUGAAAAAAGAAGGAAGGCGUAAAGACGGGGAUAAGAUCCUAGAAGCUGGCAGAUGUCAACGAUGUCCUUGACGGGAGGUAUAAGGAACCGAAGGAAAGCGAGGAGGAGAGUAGAGUAUGCCGGUGUACUUGCUAACACGAACGACUGUGACUGCUGACAAACCGAGGAGGAUGUGAACUGCCACUUCACCGGAUUCGGACGACAAAAGAGAGAGAGAGAGAGAGAGAGAGAGAGAGAGAGAGAGAGAGAGAGAGAGACAGAAAGCGUUGAAAGCUCUUGAGAAGAGCUUCGUCGCGACAAAGUUUUUUCGUUAAGGACUUACGUAAGACAUUCUUUUUUUUCUUUUUCCUUCGAACUUUCUAUUAUUAAUUUAUAAUGAAUAUUAUUUACGAUCGAUCGAAAGAGUAAUUCUAAGAGAGAUUAAGGGAACGCGACGGGAAAGUAGAUACGCGUUUAUCUUUUUAAAGCAUUGUCAUUCUGAAUCAGCGUGUAUUUCAAGGUAGACAGUUUUAUGGGGUUUUCGAGUAACUUGCUCGCUAGAAAGUAUCGUAUAUGUACACGUAUACGAUAUAUAUAGCUAUAUCUAUAUACAUAUAUAUAUGUACAUAUAUAUAUAUACAUAUAUAUAUAUAUAUAUAUAUAUAUAUACACACACACAUAUAUACACACACGUAUACAUGUAUAUAUUUCGUAGGGUGAUGGUUUCUUUUGGUUACACGAAUAAAUCAUUCCGAGACACGACGGGCGCAGCGGAUAACAAUGUAUAGUACGUAAGCUAUACUUAUUCACGACUCUUUAUACGUUCUCGCGCGUUCGUGCCUCGCAUAAGUUCCUCGAAGAUUAUAGAUUAUGGAACAUUACGUUCUCGAUAAAAGUUUCACUCUCACGCGUUGAAAUAUGAGCUCGAAAAAAGGAGGCCAUCUAAAUCUUUGUCGUUUUGACGUUAAUCCACCUGUUCGAAGUGACGGCGAUUAACAUAGAUGCAUAUUUCUCAACGAAGAAGAAAGACUAAGUAAGGUACGUCGUCAUCAUCGUCGUCAUCGUCUCGUGUCAUUUCUCUCUCUCUUUCUCUCUCUCUCUCUCUCUCUCUCUCUUUUUCUUCAAAUUACGCAUUUUAAACGUUACCUACCUAGAUUAACUUUAAUCCUCCGUCAUCAUAAAAUAGAACGACCUACAAGCUAGGAGUAUCUUCGCGCUCUAGUUAUUUCGCUCUUUAACGUUGGUGGCUAAAGGAAGAAGAGAGAGAGAGAGAGAGAGAGAGGAGAAGAAGAUCAUAGACAAAUAAGAGUUCUCGAGAUUUUAACAAAACCUAUUUGCGAGAGGAAUAAUGAGAAAAAGAGAGGGAGAAAAAAGAAAGAAGAAAAAGUAAAAGAAAAGAAAAGAAGAAAAAAAAAAAGAAGAAGAAGAAGGAAAAAGGUAUCGUAAAAUAUCGAUCUGAACGAGUGAAUCGAGAGCUUUUUCUUCUUCCUCUUUUUCUUCGUAGAAUAAAAAGAGAUAAAGCAAGAGAGAGAGAGAGAGAGAGAGACAGAGAAAGAGAUUCCAAGAGAAACGAUAAGGAUUCUCCAGGUUUUCUCUCCUUCUUCCGCUUUGCUCACAGGUACAUCAUCGUCUUUCUCUCUUUCUCUCCUGUCUUCGAGCCGGUCUUCUCCCUCAAGUGGGCCAAUGUGGACGGGGCUUUGUGAUGGCAUAACGAGCGUGGAGAGCCUCUCCCAUGCCCCGUGUAAUCUGGUCUUCGGGUAAUUGUACGUUAUACGUCCGGAGAAGCUAGCGAGAGUUUGCGAAAAAUCGCGGUUCAUUCGGGUAGAGAGAAGCGUCCUCUUUCUCUCUCUCUCUCUCCCUCUCCCUCUCUUUCUCUUUCUCUCGUGAUGCUGUACUUCGCAAGGAGUGGAGGAAAAAGAAGAAGAAGAAGAAGAAGAAGACGAAGACGAAGAAGAAGAAGAAGGAGGAGGAGGCGAAGUAAAGAGAGCAAAAGAGAACGAUGAGAGAUAGAGAGAGAGAGAGAGAGAGAGAGAAAGGUAAAAAGAGAAGGGGGUAGAGUGUGUGAGAAUACUAUCAGCAGAGUCUUCUCGGGGCCGAGGACCACACCGCGAGACCACCGUGCGUGUCUUCGGCCCUCUUCGUCGAUACAUUCGCGAUCAAACAUCGAACGAACGAACGAACGAACGAGUAAACGUUCUCCUCGCUUAUUUCUAAUCGCUUUUCCUCAACUAUCCUGAAAGUUCUAACAAUUCAAAUGGUAUUGUACUACGUUGGGAAUCAUUAGAAGAACAUCAUGAAAACACACGCAUAAAAUUCAAGAUAUUUCAUUAUCUCUCGUUCAUUUGCUCCCUCGCUUACUUUCUCUCUCUCUCUCUCUCUCUCUCUCUCUCUCUCUCUCUCUC